rnacentral:tRNA from 1 species
AGAUAGGUCCUUAAUGGCAGGGGAAGGUAGCCGAUAACUAUCUUUUAGCUAGUUCAACUCUAGCCCUAUCUC